rnacentral:misc_RNA from 1 species
AGUCGUAACAAGGUAUCCGUAGGUGAACCUGCGGAUGGAUCAUUAACAAAGGUGUUUUUGAAGUUAUGUGAACAGUUUUGGUGGUUGUGGGAGUGGUGGAUGGUUGUGGGGGGGAGGUGGAAGUGGUUGUGGGGGGGAGGUGGAAGUGGUUGGAGUGGUGGGAGUGGUUAGAUCAAAUCAAACCACACCAACCACACCAACCACGCCAAUCACACCACACCAAUCACACCCCACUCUCCUCACCCACAUCACCACUCCCAACUUUAAUGUACAAACUGAUGUCUGCCUAGUUUUCUAAACUAAAACAACUUUUAGCAACGGAUCUCUUGGCUCUC